AGGGGUAAGAUGGCGGCGCCCGUCCUCCUGAGAGUGUAGGCGCCGUGGUAGGAGCGGGUGGCCUGGUACCCUGUGUGCGCAGCGGGGAUCUUGCCCUCCAUCUAUGCCUACCACGUGGAGUGGGAGUAGGAGCGAGACCGAGCACUGGGCACUCUGCGACCUGGGGCCCUGGGUGAGGUACUUCGCAGUCCUUGUUUCCAGAAUCCUUGCCCAGAGUCCAGCACCUCCUUCCUGUCCAGGAUCACCUUCUGGUGGAUCACAGGCCUCAGGUUGAUCAUCCUGGGCAGCCACCAGCCCCUGGAGAGCAGUGGCCUCUGGUCCUUAAAUGAGGAGGACACAUCAGAAUAAGUCAUGCCUGCUUCGGUAAAGAACUGGAAGAAGAAAUGCACCAAGUCUAGGAACCAGGUAUGUUGCACGCCUGUAAUCCCAGCUACUCAAAGGCUAAGGUGAAAGAAUCACUUGAACCCAGGAGGCGGAGGAUGCAGUGAGCCAGUAUCACACCAGGGCACUCCAGCAUGGAAGACAGAGAGUCCAUCUCAA